GAGUGGCCUGAAUGCAAUGGUGUUUACAACUAAUUAAUGACAACCAGUUACAGAUUUGUUUGCUCCUUCUCCAUUCCCACUGCUUUUCACUUGACUAGCCUAAA
ensembl:misc_RNA Y_RNA Y RNA